AUUGAACGCUGGCGGCAUGCUUUACACAUGCAAGUCGAACGGCAGCGCGGGCUUCGGCCUGGCGGCGAGUGGCGAACGGGUGAGUAAUACAUCGGAACGUGCCCAGUAGUGGGGGAUAGCUCGGCGAAAGCCGGAUUAAUACCGCAUACGACCUGAGGGUGAAAGCGGGGGAUCUUCGGACCUCGCGCUAUUGGAGCGGCCGAUGGCAGAUUAGCUAGUUGGUGGGGUAAAGGCCUACCAAGGCGACGAUCUGUAGCUGGUCUGAGAGGAUGACCAGCCACACUGGGACUGAGACACGGCCCAGACUCCUACGGGAGGCAGCAGUGGGGAAUUUUGGACAAUGGGCGAAAGCCUGAUCCAGCAAUGCCGCGUGUGUGAUGAAGGCCUUCGGGUUGUAAAGCACUUUUGGCGGGAACGAAAAGGACUGUGCCAAUACCACGGUUCGAUGACGGUACCCGCAGAAUAAGCACCGGCUAACUACGUG
rnacentral:rRNA from 1 species